AUACGUAGGGUGCGAGCGUUGUCCGGAAUUACUGGGCGUAAAGAGCUCGUAGGUGGUUUGUCGCGUCGUCUGUGAAAUUCCGGGGCUUAACUCCGGGCGUGCAGGCGAUACGGGCAUAACUUGAGUACUGUAGGGGAGACUGGAAUUCCUGGUGUAGCGGUGAAAUGCGCAGAUAUCAGGAGGAACACCGGUGGCGAAGGCGGGUCUCUGGGCAGUAACUGACGCUGAGGAGCGAAAGCAUGGGUAGCGAACAGGAUUAUAUACCCUGGUAGGCCAUGCCGUAAACGGUGGGCGCUAGGUGUAGGGGUCUUCCACGACUUCUGUGCCGUAGCUAACGCAUUAAGCGCCCCGCCUGGGGAGUACGGCCGCAAGGCUAAAACUCAAAGGAAUUGACGGGG
rnacentral:rRNA from 1 species